ACAUCCAGAGAAUUUAGCAGAGAUGCUUUAGUGCCUUCGGGAACUCUGAGACAGGUGCUGCAUGGCUGUCGUCAGCUCGUGUUGUGAAAUGUUGGGUUAAGUCCCGNAACGAGCGCAACCCUUAUCCUUUGUUGCCAGCACGUAAUGGUGGGAACUCAAAGGAGACUGCCGGUGAUAACCGGAGGAAGGUGGGGAUGACGUCAAGUCAUCAUGGCCCUUACGAGUAGGGCUACACACGUGCUACAAUGGCGCAUACAAAGAGAAGCGACCUCGCGAGAGCAAGCGGACCUCAUAAAGUGCGUCGUAGUCCGGAUUGGAGUCUGCAACUCGACUCCAUGAAGUCGGAAUCGCUAGUAAUCGUAAAUCAGAAUGUUACGGUGAAUACGUUCCCGGGCCUUGUACACACCGCCCGUCACACCAUGGGAGUGGGUUGCAAAAGAAGUAGAUAGCUUAACCUUCGGGGAGGGCGUUUACCACUUUGUGAUUCAUGACUGGGGUGAAGUCGUAACAAGGUAAGCGUAGUGCU
rnacentral:rRNA from 1 species